CUACGGGUGGCACCAGUGGGGAAUAUUGGACAAUGGGGGAAACCCUGAUCCAGCAAUGCCGCGUGUGUGAAGAAGGCCUGCGGGUUGUAAAGCACUUUCGGUUGGGAGGACUGCUUCUAGCACUAAUAUUGUUGGAAGUUGACGUUACCUUCAGAAGAAGCACCGGCUAACUCCGUGCCAGCAGCCGCGGUAAUACGGAGGGUGCAAGGGUUAAUCGGAAUUACUGGGCGUAAAGCGCGCGUAGGCGGCUAGAUCAGUCGGGUGUGAAAGCCCCGGGCUUAACCUGGGAACUGCAUCCGAUACGGUCUAACUUGAGUACAGGAGAGGAGAGUGGAAUUCCACAUGUAGCGGUGAAAUGCGUAGAUAUGUGGAGGAACACCAAUGGCGAAGGCAGCUCUCUGGCCUGAUACUGACGCUGAGGUGCGAAAGCGUGGGGAGCAAACAGGAUUAGAUACCCGCGUAGUC
rnacentral:rRNA from 1 species